rnacentral:rRNA from 1 species
ACGCACGCUGGCGGCGUGCUUAACACAUGCCAGUCGAACGGAAAGGCCCCUUUGGGGGUCCUCGAGUGGCGAACGGGUGAGUAACACGUGAGUAACCUGCCCUUGACUUCGGGAUAACUUCAGGAAACUGGGGCUAAUACCGGAUAGGAAUCCUUGCUGCAUGGUGGGGGUUGGAAAGCUUCGGCGGUUUUGGAUGGACUCGCGGCUUAUCAGCUUGUUGGUGGGGUAGUGGCUUACCAAGGCUUUGACGGGUAGCCGGCCUGAGAGGGCGACCGGCCACAUUGGGACUGAGAGACGGCCCAGACUCCUACGGGAGGCAGCAGUGGGGAAUAUUGCACAAUGGGCGGAAGCCUGAUGCAGCAACGCCGCGUGCGGGAUGACGGCCUUCGGGUUGUAAACCGCUUUCAGCAGGGGCGAAGCUUGUGGUGACGGUACCUGCAGAAGAAGCACCGGCUAACUACGUG